AACUGGAGGACAAGGACUGGGGUGAUGUGGCUGAUCUGAUCAGGGAAUACUACAAGGAUGUCUACGGGGUGGAGGUGACCCUGCAAGUUCUAGACAACAUCAAUGAAAGUGGACAGAUUUGUACGGCUGAAUGACCUGGAGGAGUCGAGAUGUUUAGCCCCAAAAGGCAGGCCAAUGAUGCUCGGCCUGAGUGACAGCGGGGAGAUGAUGUGCUCCGUCACGCUGGAGACAUUUUAUCCUGGAUAUCUCCAUAUUGAAUGGAAGUGUAGACGAGAGACGUCAACAGAGGUUUUAUCAUCCCAAGAGGUCUACAGAGAAAGUCCUGAUGGAAGAUCAUUCUCAGCGAGUAGUGAGGUCAGAAUUUCCCAGGAUCUCCUCAGAUGUCCAGAAUCCACAGUACACGUCAGCUGGGAACACGAAUAUACAAGCACCAAGGGGCAGCAAACCUUCUCAAUCAGGGAUCAAGAUUUCCUUUGGAGGCCAGCAGUCGAUGAGAUACAGACACCACAGCGUUUAUACCAUGAAAUCCCCGCUGUCCUACAGUGCCACAUAUCAGGAUAUUACCCGGACGCCGUCACUGUGAAGUGGUUCAGGAAAAAUAAUCGUAAUCUUGAGUUAUGUGAAGAGUCUGAUGAGGUGUCAGUUCCAAAAAUCAGAUCAAGUAAAAACCCUGACAACACCUACAGCUGUACAGCAAGGCUAAUGAUGACGCCUAGACUGAGAAACCACCAGGGGGCAGAAUACAUUUGCCGAGUAGAACAUCCUUCUCUGGAAAAGGCAAUCCAGAAAAGCUCAGGAGAAAUCAAACUGCUGGCAAAACCUCAGCCGGAGCCCAUAGUGAAGACGCUUCUGGAUAACAUGUCAGUGCAGUUCUCCUUGCAUCUUAAGAACUUUUACCCUAAAGACAUCAAAGUGAAGUGGCAUCGGGGGGAGACACAGGUCAGAAAAGGGGUGAAGGAGGGGUUCAGACAGAGAGAUGUGUUCACAGAACGUGAAGAUUCCUUGUUUGAUGUCGUCAGUGAAAGUCGUUUUCUGGGAUUGUGCUUUAGAGAUCCCCAGUAUAAAGCGUAUGUAACCUGGGAGCACGAAACGAUGGACGGACCUGAGACCAUGACGUUGUCUGUGAGAGAUCUGCCCUGGAGGCCAAAGAUGGCUGAAAUAUUUGUCUUUAGGUUGAGCGAUAAUGUGAGAACCAGGAUGUCAUGCUGCAUUUCUGACUAUUUCCCAGAUAAACUGACCGUGUCCUGGUAUAAGAAGCAAGAUGGAGCAGUGUCUGCAGUGCAGGAGUCCAAGGACAUCUUCACAGAGGUUUCUCCACAUGAAAAUAAAAACAAGACAUUCGGCUGUGCAGCAAUUUUAUAUUUUACUCCAGAUGCGGAGAAGGACGAAGGGUCAGAAUUUAUCUGUAGGGUGGAGCAUCACAGCCUCGAGCAUCCGAUAGAGAGAAGCACUGGACCCCUCCAUAUAUUCAGGCCUGGUGAUUAAAAACCUGGAUUCCAGCGACAUUACUGUGAUGAACGCCAUUGCUUCUCCUUAACGAGGAGCCGUCGCCUCUCUCCGGACACGGCUCUUUUAGGAAUUACCUGUAUUCUAUGUGAAAAACCAUUCUGGAGCAUCGAGCCUCAGAUCUCUGAGCCAUUCUUGUGUUAUUUCUCCAAAUAAUGUAUGAAUAGAUCACAUACUGGAGCUACCAGAGUUCUCGGAAAAGAUGUCCCCAAAUUAUUAUUUCAUGGAAAAUAAAAGUUUUUACUGACA